GUCUAAGGUCGCUCCCUGGUCUGCCUGAAGGCGCAACCUUGAGCCACCGAGGGACCACAUUUCCUAGGUUGCCCUACGGUGGUACCUGUUGCACUUCCCUACCGCUUUGCAGGAUUGGGAGAAGGAAGGGUGCCGGUGAGGACCCGGUUUUAUUUGCCGGGAAAUAGUAAGGAAGUCUUUUGUAUUCACAACACCUUUAAGUGGAGUGAUGGGUAGUUCGAGAUAGAGAGAGUUAUUGGGAAAUGAACAACCAGGGAAGUAUUGGGCUGAGAAGGUUGGAAGGAGUUGUGAACUAGUGCGGGAAGACGAAGAAAAGAAAGGUUUGGGAUUUCCCUGUGGGGUCAGGGGAUUCCUCCCUGGUCUUUCCAGCCUCUCAGCUCUUCCUAUUUGUUCCCUCCUCCCAACCAGGGCGGGGAUGCUGGAGGCAGCCUCUAGCUAGAACUGUCACUCCGGGAAAUGAGUUCAGUUUCUCUUCCGAUUCAUCUUUGCAACUCACUACAUAAAGGUCAAGAGAGCUGAGUCAUUUGGGACCAGGGAAGUUAUGGGUUGCCAGGAGAAGGAGGGGCAGCCCAGGCCACCACCUGCUCCUGGGAAGAACGCUGAGAAUCCGACUGACUACAAUCAGAGCCAGUCAUGCCUCUGUCUCCCAGGUGAUGGAAACUGGAAACCAACAGAGUCUCAAAAAAUGUCCAGAAUCUGUUGUAGAUGCAAGCACCCACCUUAGUGGGGUGCAACUGAACAAUGAACUCUUCCCCAGCAAUAUCUAAAACAGGCAGUACUUUCUGCAACUAAGUCAGCUCAAGAAUUGAAGCUCAAUUUAUUCAUGAGCAAAUAACAGGCAUUUUCAUCAUCUAUAUUAAUGAAUAUUACCUAUAUUCAAGAACUUUAAAUAAUUUCAAUCAAGAUUUCAGAAAAGACCACAUUUCAAGGACUGGGAUGCUGUUUUUAAAGAAGUAUGUUGACUGAAAAGUUGGAAGAUAUUCAGCUGAUGGUGACUGAUGAGAAUCAUUUGAAGGAAUUGAAGAUAUUUAUAAUAAAGUAGAUAAGAAUUUGGAAGAGCAGGAGAAGUAGAUCUCUUGUCUUCAAAAACGAGGGAUUAUACUUGUUAGUCGUAAAAAUCCAAAACUAUAAUGGAAAAAGAUUUUGAUUAAAUAUAAAGAACUUA